rnacentral:lncRNA from 13 species
UCCCCUUGUAGGUCACUCAUGGGGAACUGCCUAGACCCUGGGUCUUGUACCUCGUGCCAGCAGGGAGUGGCGCCGUCUUGUGAAUGUGAGACUCAGUCUGCGGCAGCUGCAGCACCAGCAUCCACCACUGCAGAGCCUGCCGUGUUACAUGCCAGAGUGGCGCAGGUCCAGCAUGUGCAGCCCAUCAAGUCAAAGCGGCGCAAAGGCACUGGGUAACAACCAAUGGAGGAAUAUGACCUUGGCAGAAAAGGACAAGAAGUGAACCCCACAUCAAUCCCAGAUUUCUGCUUAUGGGCAUUUCCUAAACAACAUCCUUUGACUCCAUGCCUCACAUCCAGCUCCAGAAUCUGGGCCUUCAGUCUGUCCUCUGGGUCUGGGCCUUGUGCCUGUUCAACCUCUUCUCAGAACAACUUGGCCCCAGGAUGCCCUCAUCCCAUCCCUGCUGACAACUGGGAGUUUCAACCUCUGUGCCUGCGAGGCCUCUGCUCAGGUGUCCUUCAGGUGUCACCUGCCAUAUGGCUGUUACCUUGCCCAGCUUCCUUUCCGUGUGGACUUCAGUUGGGGCAAGUCUGGUUCCUCCACGACCUCAGCCCCAGCACAGAUACUGACCCUGAUGGGUACUCCUUGCCUGAAAGUCCCUGCGGGACACUGAGACCCCAGUCCCAUCAUGGCACCCAAGGGUGCUGUCUCCCCACCUUCAUGGCAGGGCUGCUGGUGUGGCACAGGUCAGCCUCUCCUGCAGGAGCCUUCACCACAACCACUGCAAAGGUGGGCAUCAGGCUGCAAAGGCCCUCAAUUUGGAGGGCCCCUCAGUUUUCAAGACUAUUCAGUUUGCAGAACAAGAAACUGAGGACCAAGAGGUGCACAUGUCAGUUCCAUCAGCUCCAGGGUCAGGGACAGGGAAAUACUGGAGUUGGACUACUAAGUAAAGCCCCAUGGCUUUUUCAGCCACUAGCGCUGCUAAGCCAAAACUGUAAUUACCUUGUCCCCGGUGCAGUUGACAUUUGGGGUGAGGUGCAUGACCUUCCCUUUAUGUCUGGCCAAUUAUGUCUCAAUCUAGUUGUCUUGAUUUGUAGCAGUUGGUGCAAUUUGUCCAAGGCAUUCAUCAACUCUGCCAAUUCUGCAAUAUAA